UACACUUAGGCAAAAUGUUUAGUACUUUAUAGUCAUACAUGAAGUAAAUUUAGAGGAGGAUAGGUCUAUCCCCUAUGCUGGUCUAUUCUGGAAAUUUAGUGUUAGAGAAAAGCAACUUGAAGUCAGGGCAACAAAUCAGCACAGUACCAUAGGUUACGUCAACUAAGUUCUGGAGAUAAAUUGCUACACUAGUGCUGGAAGCAAUAUUUCUCUAUGGAUUCUGUUUUUCAAAUUCUCAUUCUGUCUUCCAUGAG